UCUUUACAGCGGGGUAGGAAUUUACACUUGCAUGUUGAGAAAAUAAAGUAUAGAAAAAAAAGGGAAAAGAAUUACUUUACCUUUUUCUUCUUUCUUCCUCUUCGUUUUCUGUCUUUUGCUUUCCAAACAACCCUAAUGAAAUUCUUCCUUUCGGUUUUUUAUUUGAGUAUAUUGUGCUCACACCAAAAUGAUGAUUAAGGAGAAGAAGAAGGAUGCAACAAGGAUUUAUUUACGUGGUUCGGCCAAAAUAAAGCCUACGUCCAGGCGGAAGGAUCUCAGUUUUAUUAUUCAAGAUGAGUACAUAAGAACUCUCCUUUUUCUUAUUUACAGGAUGGAUAGAAAAGAAGAAACUAGUGAAGCAAAGCAGAUAUCUCGUGCAAGAACUAUACGAUACGAACUCAUUUGACGAUUAACAUCUCUAGACGAGAAACCAUGUCAUCACGCGAGGAAGGUUCAUUAGAAGACAAAGUGUGGGAGUUGGAGAUGAUGUGACUCGCAACAGACACCUUUUGACAGAUAGCGCUGACAAUCUCUGAAGAAUAGAAGUUUUCCACCGAAAGCUGCCUAUAAAAUCACUUCAUCCCCACCAUGAGAAGAAGGUCUGAAUAGACCAAAAAUGGGGCUUGCAUGGGCCAAAAGCUAGAGUGUUGGUGGAAAGGAUUAGCUUUACCACCGUUUAUAUAGCACUCCAUCUUCACUGACCAGAUUGUAAUGCGAAAGCUUAGAGUUUCAGAGGAGAAAAGUCCAUCCCCCGUUUCCCCUAACUUGUAUUUCAUUUCUUCCUUUUUCCAUUUUACUAUUUCUUUACAUUAUAUGCAGUUAUAUUGUACAUUGGUCAAAGACCUUCAUUCUUUAAUACAAUGUAUCUUUAUACACGUUUCAAUC